rnacentral:misc_RNA from 1 species
ACUUAAGGUAGUGAACACAUGAAUAAAGUCAAAACAUAAGCUCCCGCCUAUGCCGGCUCA